AGAGUUUGAUCCUGGCUCAGAAUGAACGCUGGCGGCAUGCCUAAGACAUGCAAGUCGCACGUGAAAGUAGCAAUAUGAGUAAAGUGGCGCACGGGUGAGUAAUAUUUAAGUAAUGUGCCCUUCCGCGGGGGAUAACCAGACGAAAGUUUGGCUAAUACCGCAUACAUCGGUGAAAACUGUGGUUUUUACCGGGAAAGCCGUAAGGCGCGGAUGGAGCAGCUUGAAUCCCAUUAGCUAGUUGGUAAGGUAAUGGCUUACCAAGGCAUUGAUGGGUAGCUGGUCUGAGAGGACGACCAGCCACACUGGAACUGAGACACGGUCCAGACUCCUACGGGAGGCAGCAGUCAGGAAUCUUGCGCAAUGGGAGAAAUCCUGACGCAGCGAUGCCGCGUGAGGGAUGAAGGCCUUCGGGUUGUAAACCUCUUUUAGUUGGAACGAAAAAAAUGACGGUACCAGCAGAAAAAGCACCGGCUAACUCUGUGCCAGCAGCCGCGGUGAUACAGAGGGUGCAAGCGUUAUUCGGAGUUACUGGGCGUAAAGCGCGCGCGGGCUGUUCAGCAAGUCUGAUGCGAAAGCCUCCGUUUAAAGCGGAGAAGUGCAUUAGAUACUACUGGACUAGAGUAGAGGAGGGGAGAGUGGAAUUCCUGGUGUAGAGGUGAAAUUCGCAGAUAUCAGGAGGAACAACGGUGGCGAAGGCGACUCUCUGGACUCUUACUGACGCUGAUGCACGAAAGUGUGGGGAUCAAACAGGAUUAGAUACCCUGGUAGUCC
rnacentral:rRNA from 1 species